rnacentral:rRNA from 1 species
UACGGAGGGUGCAAGCGUUGUUCGGAAUUCCUGGGCGUAAAGGGCUCGUAGGCGGCCAACUAAGUCGGAUGUGAAAUCCCCAGGCUUAACCUGGGAACUGCAUCCGAUACUGGAUGGCUUGAAUCCGGGAGAGGGAUGCAGAAUUCCUGGUGUAGCGGUGAAAUGCGUAGAUAUCAGGAGGAAUACCGGUGGCGAAAGCGACUCUCUGGACGGCAACUGACGCUGAGGCACGAAAGCGUGGGGAGCAAACAGG